UGGCUCAGGAUGAACGCUAGCGGCAGGCUUAACACAUGCAAGUCGAGGGGCAUCGCGGGUGGCAACACCUGGCGGCGACCGGCGAACGGGUGAGUAACGCGUGAGCAACAUGUCCUCAGUCGGGGGAUAAGCGAGGGAAACUUCGUCUAAUACCCCAUAACACUUUCAGGCGCAUGCCUUUAAGUUGAAAGCUUUUUUUGCGACUUUGGUUUGGCUCGCGUGACAUUAGCUAGUCGGUGGGGUAACGGCUCACCGAGGCUACGAUGUCUAGGGGUUCUGAGAGGAAGGCCCCCCACAUUGGGACUGGGACACGGCCCAAACUCCUACGGGAGGCAGCAGUGAGGGAUAUUGGUCAAUGGACGGAAGUCUGAACCAGCCAUGCCGCGUGAAGGAAGACUGCCCUAUGGGUUGUAAACUUCUUUUGCAGCAGAGCAAUAAGGCGUACGCGUACGCCGAUGAGAGUAUGUUGCGAAUAAGCAUCGGCUAACUCCGUGCCAGCAGCCGCGGUAAUACGGAGGAUGCGAGCGUUAUCCGGAUUUAUUGGGUUUAAAGGGUGCGUAGGCUGUUUUGUAAGUCAGCGGUGAA
rnacentral:rRNA from 1 species